AAACAAAGGGAUGUUGUGUUUGGGCUGGCUGCGAUAGGGCCUGACUGUGAUAGGACGGGAUGGGUGAGUGGAAAUACAGGCGACCUAAUUGGACGCUGCCUGAAACAGCACACAGUUGGACCGCUGCGCCGCUCGUGAUGUCAGCUUGGCUGCGACGGCGUUGUUUCAUUUAGCGCUAAUGCCGGAAAAAUACAAGUGUAACCAAUGUUCCCCCCUCAGCUGCAACCAGUCGUGUGCCGUCUAUGAUUCAGCGCUCGCAAAAUGACUCUUUGCUAACUGAAUACCGGGAAACAACCAUCGUCCUCCACCCUCGCACACUUGAAGCGAGGUGUAAACAGGCCCGAGGAUGGACCCAGCCAAACAGAUGGAUGCUCUCGCGGUGCAGAUGCGAGGAAAGAAGGAAAACAUCGUGCAAGUAUGCGUGCAGCCAGUCAUUUCCUGAGAGGAGGAAGAGGGGGAAGGAGCAGCGUGUGUGUCAGCUCUCCCAGGAAGCCUGCUAAUGUGGGAAAGACACAAAACUUCAACCAAAGCCUUCGUGCCAUCAGCUGAACCCUCUCCCAGCGCGGCCC
rnacentral:lncRNA from 1 species